CGUAGGUGGCAAGCGUUGUCCGGAAUUAUUGGGCGUAAAGCGCGCGCAGGCGGCUUCUUAAGUCUGAUGUGAAAUCUCGGGGCUCAACCCCGAGCGGCCAUUGGAAACUGGGGAGCUUGAGUGCAGAAGAGGAGAGUGGAAUUCCACGUGUAGCGGUGAAAUGCGUAGAUAUGUGGAGGAACACCAGUGGCGAAGGCGACUCUCUGGUCUGUAACUGACGCUGAGGCGCGAAAGCGUGGGGAGCAAACAGG
rnacentral:rRNA from 1 species